rnacentral:lncRNA from 1 species
UCUGGUAUAACAUCAACUGAAUUCACCAAAAAGAAAAAAGCCUCGAUAGGUUUUUAGAGCAGCCUUCCAUAUGUAACUGAGCCAAAUUUGGUAGAAAAUAGAUAAAACCAAACUGAAAAAGUCUGGGGGGGGGGCAUCUAAAAACUUCGUAAAAAUCCCCUUCUGAGAAAAAUGUAGCUUGAAAUUUGGAAAGCAAAAUCAGCGGAGAAACAUUCACUAAACAAAACCGCCAUUAGUAAAUUAACAAAAGUAGCCUUAUUUAAGUAUUCACAGAUCAUUUUCUAGGUAUAAGAUAUAAACAAGACAGUAUCCUUUUGGAAUUUUACCUUUUGGAUCCAUGCUUUCAUCGGAAGCAUAGAUUGUCGUUAAUACUUAACAUAAAGGACGCCUGAUCACAGUUUGCACACUGAAAACUAUGCCUAGUUUAAUAGGACAGACACUCACCAAAGAGCUAGAUAGACUCUUUUUCUUUUACUAACAGCUAAUGGUUUUUAACCUCGCAAAUUUUUUCCCGAAAAAUGAAUACAGAUAACUGCAAUGUACAACAUCAAAUAGUUGUCGGAGACAAAAUUGAGCAAUCACUUGUCAGUGUAAUUAUCCUCAAGGCAUAUAAAGGUUUUUACUGCAUGUAUGCAAGUUGUCGGUGUUCUCAGCCUUGAAACUUUUUUCCGCCGUUGUUGCAGUUUCGUAUUGUCACUGCUCUAUUUCUUUCUUAUCUUUAGCUUUGGCAGGCCCUCCGUCUUUUACUGGACGCAGGCCUCCAUAGCAAGGGCAUGACUCGCCGAGAAGGACUGGAUCUAUUGGCCAAUUAUGCUUGGGAGACGUCCGAUGUUGCACGCAAAGAAAUAACUCGAUACCAGUCUGGCCUGGGUUAGGCUAGCGCGUACACGAUUGGUCAGCUGAUGAUUCGGAAGUUAAAGGACUACGCAGAGAUGACGUCCAAGGGAAAAUUUGACCUAAAGGACUUUCAUUACCAGAUUCUCAACCAAGGCUUUGCGCCGAUGAGUUUCCUCGAGAGGCAUAUCCAGCAAUAUGUCGCCUGCAAGUUAGACGAUAAAUCUCUUGGAUGCGAGCUCAUCUUGCAGCCAUUAGGCGUUGAAGUGACAACGAAGCGAAAAAGCCAUGCCGAGAUCCAACUUUCCUCAAAAUAUUUCAGUUUUUUCAACCGGCCGUAUCCAAGGAGACUUUAUGUUUCAUGAGCUUACAAAAUUUAAGUAUGUUCAGUACUUCUAGUUAGCCAUCAUAGCCAUUCUUCGAGUUUACAAAGGAAAUCCAAUCGAAAAGAAUACGGGGUCAUCAGUAAGUGCUUUCACUGGCAAUACCCCAAAGGAUCAUUAAGUGCAUUUGAAUUUUUUUCUUGAUUUCCAACUUUUUUCAUACAUUUCUCCUAACUGACUUUUAUACGUUGUCAAUUACGUUCGUUAUUUGUAUCCACAGUCAGUACUCCGUUUACCAGUUCAACUAUUUAUCUCGCGUUAAACGAAAAACCUCAAAGUUUUUAACUCUGAGGAGCUUAUUCGUCAAUGAGUAGAGAAUUUCAUCCACUCUCGCUAACAAUCGAAGCCAUUUCGGGUAAUUAUAACUUGCAAGCUGUACUAAACGGAACGCAAAGGAAAUUUUCUUCUCCUUGUUGUGAGUGACGUACCAAUCGGACCGUUUUCAUAUUCUUCUUGGCCUGCUUGCACAUAUUUUCAACAUCGUCCAAGUCAUCAAAGUACUUGUCACAUUGUUUUUUAAGUUCAUAAAAUUGUCUUUGCAAUUUGUCGAUCUGUCUUUCCUUCUCAUCAGAUAGAUAACUUGCUCUUGCCACAAAGCUUUCGCUGAUAACCGAAGCCAUUGCGAGUACUUUUCGCUUACAAAGUUUUCUAGCUUAGCAAAUGUACUAAACGGAACGCAAGGGAAAUUCUCAUCUGCUUGUUGUAAGUGACGUAACAAUCGGACCUUUUUCUAAGCGCGUGCUCUGUAAGUCGAAACGCGUUCGCGUAUUAUCCAGCACAAGGAAUAACAGAAAGAAACAAAGAGGAAAGACCAUGGCUCUUCCUGUCAUAAUAGUCCUUGAGGAAUUUUGUAAGAAGAAAAAUCAAAAGGCUGUAACACUACUUUAGUGAUCAAGAUAAGGAAUUUAUUAU